GAUGAACGCUGGCGGCGUGCCUAAUACAUGCAAGUCGAGCGAACGGACGAGAAGCUUGCUUCUCUGAUGUUAGCGGCGGACGGGUGAGUAACACGUGGAUAGCCUACCUAUAAGACUGGGAUAACUUCGGGAAACCGUAGCUAAUACCGGAUAAUAUUUUGAACCGCAUGGUUCAAAAGUGAAAGACGGUCUUGCUGUCACUUAUAGAUGGAUCCGCGCUGCAUUAGCUAGUUGGUAAGGUAACGGCUUACCAAGGCAACGAUGCAUAGCCGACCUGAGAGGGUGAUCGGCCACACUGGAACUGAGACACGGUCCAGACUCCUACGGGAGGCAGCAGUAGGGAAUUUUCCGCAAUGGGCGAAAGCCUGACGGAGCAACGCCGCGUGAGUGAUGAAGGUCUUCGGAUCGUAAAACUCUGUUAUUAGGGAAGAACAUAUGUGUAAGUAACUGUGCACAUCUUGACGGUACCUAAUCAGAAAGCCACGGCUAACUACGUG
rnacentral:rRNA from 1 species